rnacentral:rRNA from 1 species
AUACGGGGGGUGCAAGCGUUAAUCGGAAUUACUGGGCGUAAAGCGCGCGUAGGCGGUUUGCUCAGUCGGAUGUGAAAGCCCAGGGCUCAACCUUGGAACUGCAUACGAUACUGGCAAACUAGAGUGUGAGAGAGGAUAGUGGAAUUUCCGGUGUAGCGGUGAAAUGCGUAGAUAUCAGAAGGAACAUCAGUGGCGAAGGCGACUGUCUGGCUCAACACUGACGCUGAGGUGCGAAAGCGUGGGUAGCAAACAGGAUUAGAUACCCUAGUAGUCC